AUGGAGCGGGUGGCGCUGGUUGGUUUACAAUUGGUAGUGUCGCCGAUCCUGAAGAAACUCAUCGCGGAUGCCUCAACUUACCUUGGGGUUGACAUGGCGAGUGAGCUCCAUGAACUGGAGACCACCAUCAUGCCGCAGUUCGAGCUCAUGAUUGAAGCAGCUAGCAAGGGCAACCACAGGAUCAAGUUGGAAAAAUGGGUCCAAGAGCUCAAAGAAGCCAUCUGCAAAGCCGAAGACCUGCUCGACAAGCAUGAGUACAACCUCCUCAAGCACCAAGCAAAGAGCGGGAGUGCCUCCACCAGCACUUGUAUGCAUCUUGCAUGUAACUGGCUGUCCAAUCUGGGCACCAAGAACAGGAAGGUACUUCACCAGCUCAAGGAACUAAAGGUCAUUCUUGCCAAAGGCAAGGAGCUCCGUGAACUUCUUUGCUUACCAGCUGGUAAUAAUAGUGCAGAGGGCCCUGCUAUUCCUCAAACCACAUCAUUACCACCUCUGAAAGUAAUAGGUCGUGACAAGGAUCGCGAUCGUAUAAUAAACUUUCUUACCGAGCCUGUUGGUGCUGCCACCGAUGCUAUAUAUUCAGGUCUGGCUAUUGUUGGAGCAGGAGGCAUGGGAAAAUCCACCUUGGCACAACAUGUUUACAAUGACAAGAGGGUACAAGAACAUUUUGAUGUCCGGAUGUGGGUGUGCAUCUCACGCAGACUUGAUGUCCGUCGUCAUACACGGGAGAUCAUCGAGUCCGCGGCCAAGAGGGAGUGCCCGCGUGUUGAUAAUCUGGAUACUCUCCAGUGCCAACUAAGGGACAUGCUGCAGAUAUCAGAGAAAGUCUUGCUUGUGUUGGAUGAUGUUUGGUUUGAUGAUUCGAGCAGUCAGAUGGAAUGGGACCAGCUGUUAGCACCUCUGGUUUCACAGCUCAAGGGGAGCAAAGUUUUGGUAACUUCUCGACGGGAUACAUUUCCCUGUGCUCUUCGCUGCGAAAAGGUGCUCCGGUUGGAUACCAUGGAAGAUACUCAGUUCCUUGCACUCUUCAAAUACUAUGCCUUCGCUGGGGCAGAAAUCAUAAACCUUUCAUUGCUUGAAAGGCUAGAAGAGAUUGCAGAGAAGAUAGCUAAAAGGCUUGGACAGUCUCCCUUGGCUGCAAAAGUGGUGGGUUCGCAGUUGAAAGGGAAAAUGGAUAUCUCUGCCUGGAAAAAUGCUCUAACUUUAAAGAUUGAAAACUUAAGUGAGCCCAGGACAGCCCUGUUGUGGAGUUAUCAGAAGUUAGAUCCACGUCUUCAGAGGUGCUUUGCAUAUUGCAGCUUGUUUCCAAAAGGGCACAAAUAUGACACUGAUGAGUUGGUUCACCUGCUUGUAGUGGAGGGACUUGUUGAUUCAAGCAACCAGAAUAGGAGAAUGCUAGAUAUUGGAAAGGAUUACAUCAAUGAGAUGGUCUCUGGAUCUUUCUUGCAACCAGUUUCUAGUAGAUUUCAGGGCACAUACUACAUCAUGCAUGAUCUUCUUCAUGAUUUGGCAGAGUCACUCUCUGAACAAGACUGCUUCAGAUUAGAGGAUGAUAAGGUGACAGAAAUACCAUGCACCGUCCGACAUCUAUCUGUAUGUGUUGAGAGUAUGAAACGACAUAAGCACAAUAUCUGCAAGCUACGUAAUUUACGCACUGUUAUCUGCAUCGAACCGCUUACAGAUGACAUAAGUGGUAUUUUCGAUCAGGCUCUGCAAUAUUUGAAGAAGUUACGUGUGCUCCAUUUGUGCUUUUACAAUAGCAGCAAGCUACCUGAAUCUGUAGGUGUGCUGAAGCACCUUCGGUAUUUGAACCUCGUCAAAACUUCUAUUGCCGAGUUGCCUGGAUCAUUAUGUGCUCUUUAUCACCUACAGGUACUUCAGUUAAACGAUAAAGUUAAGAGCUUGCCUGACAAACUCUGCAAUUUAAGCAAGCUACGGUAUCUUGAAGGGUACCGCGAUCUGACAUACAGGAUGUAUGAAGUAGCUCUGCCUCAAAUCAGUUAUGUAGGCAAGCUAACUUUGCUCCAACAUCUCAAAGAAUUUUGUGUGCAAAAACAGAAGGGGUCUGAGUUGCAACAGCUCAGUGACAUGAAAGAGCUUGGUGGCAGUUUAAGUGUCAGAAAUCUGGAGAAUGUCAGUGGAAAGAAUGAGGCCAUAGACUCUAUGCUGUAUCAGAAAAGUCACCUUGGAACCCUGUGUCUCGUGUGGAGUUCCAAUAAUGACGCAAGUGUAGAGGACAGUUUACAGUUGGAGAUUAUAGAAGGUUUGAUGCCGCCGCCUCAACUUCAGUGCCUCGAAAUUGAGGGUUACAACUGUGCCACGUAUCCAAGUUGGCUACUUAAGGGUUCGUAUUUUGAAAAUUUGCAAUCUUUUAAGCUUGUGAACUGCAGUGCGUUAGAAGGCCUACCACUCAAUACCGAUCUCUUCAGGCAUUGCACUAAACUGCAGCUCCAGAAUGUGUCAAUUCUGAAAACAUUAUCUUGUCUUCCAGCAGCACUUACUCACUUAAUGAUUGGCAGUUGUCCAUUGCUUACGUUUAUUACUGAUGGUGAGCUAGAACAGCGUGAUGAGAGAGAGAACAUCAUGAGGACAGACUACUUGGCAUCACAACUUGCCUUCAUAUGGGAGGUGGAUUCCCGAUCAGAAAUUAGGAAAGUAUUAUCAUCAGAACAUUCAUCUCUGAAGCAGUUGAUGGAUGCUGACAAGUCACAUCUUCAAACCAUUGCAAGUGCUGUAGAAAGAGAAAACAACGAGGUAAUACUGAAAGAGGAUAUCAUCAAGGCGUGGAUAUGUUGCCACGAGCAGAGGAUUGGAUUCAUUUACGGAAGAAGCAUCGGGAUGUCGUUGGUUCCACCGUCAGGGCUUUGUCGACUUCACCUUUCUUCGUGCAGUAUUACAGAUGGGGCAUUAGCUGUUUGCCUUGAUGGUCUCACCUCACUGACAAGGUUGACCUUAGAGGAGAUCAUGACUUUAACUACACUUCCCUCGCAAGAUGUACUACAGCAUUUGACAAAGCUUGACUACAUGUUCAUCAAAUCUUGCUGGUGUUUGAGGUCACUAGGAGGCUUAAGAGCUGCUACCUCUCUUUUGGAGGUUAGGUUGAUUACCUGCCCUUCGUUAGACUUGGCACGUGGAGCAGAUUUAUUGCCAUUAUCUCUGAAGGAGCUCGUUAUAUCCCAUUGCGUUGUCGCAGCCAAUUUCUUCAGUGGUGACUUGCCGCAGCUGGUAGACCUUUCCAUGUUUGGGUGCAGAAGCGCUGCAUCCUUGUCGAUUGGCCAUCUGACCUCUCUUGAAUCAUUAUCUCUAGGAGAUUUCCCGGAUCUGUGCUUUCUUGAAGGAUUGUCUUCCCUGCAAGUCCAUCAUGUGCAUUUGACAAAUGUUCCGAAGCUAACUGCGGAGUGCAUCGCACAGUUUCGGGCACAGAAAUCACUCUAUGUUAGCAGCCCUGCGAUGCUCAACCACAUGCUCUCGGCUGAAGGCUUUACAGUUCCAUCAUUUCUUUGUCUUGAAGGAUGCAAGGAUCCAUCCGUUUCAUUUGAGGAAUCUGCAAAUUUCACUUCAGUCAAGUGCCUGAGAUUACGCGAUUGUGAAAUGAGUUCCCUGCCAGGAAAUCUCAAGUGCUUCUCCAGCCUGACGACACUUCAAAUCCAUAUGUGCCCCAAUAUAUCAUCGUUGCCAGAUCUGCCAUCCUCCCUCCAGAGGAUAGUCGUGUGGAAUUCCGAACUCCUCGAGAAGAGCUGCCGAGCACCUGAUGGAGAAAGCUGGCCAAAGAUUGAGCAUAUCCGCUGGAAACAAUUCACAGAAUUUUGA
rnacentral:rRNA from 1 species